UGGGGAGUAUUGGACAAUGGGGACAACCCUGAUCCAGCAAUGCCGCGUGGGUGAUGAAGGCCUUCGGGUUGUAAAGCCCUUUCGGCGGGGACGAUGAUGACGGUACCCGCAGAAGAAGCCCCGGCUAACUUCGUGCCAGCAGCCGCGGUAAUACGAAGGGGGCUAGCGUUGUUCGGAAUUACUGGGCGUAAAGCGCACGUAGGCGGCGAUUUAAGUCAGAGGUGAAAGCCCGGGGCUCAACCCCGGAACUGCCUUUGAGACUGGAUUGCUUGAACAUCGGAGAGGUGAGUGGAAUUCCGAGUGUAGAGGUGAAAUUCGUAGAUAUUCGGAAGAACACCAGUGGCGAAGGCGGCUCACUGGACGAUUGUUGACGCUGAGGUGCGAAAGCGUGGGGAGCAAA
rnacentral:rRNA from 1 species